AAAGAAAAGAAAAAAGGAGAAGAGGAAUCAUCUCAAAACCAUUCCUUCAGAAUUUUCCAAACCUAUUUGAUCACAUGAGGCCUCAGCUAAGGUUUAUAUCACAGGGACUAUCCCAGCGGAACUGGUGCUCUUGAACCUCACUUGGGAAAUUCAGGUUGAGUCACCACCAUCAUAAGCAGCCUUUGCAUGCUUUCCGGAUUGCCAUUGUCUGAAGACCGACUUUCAAUAUAAGAGAUUUCUGACUUACUGAGGUGUCAAAAACAACUCCUGAGUCCUGUUCCCAUUCUUCUUGAAGAUACCUACCCAAUAACUGGGACAAUAGAUGUCCUACAGUUGAAGGAAAUCUGGAUCUUGUUACAUUUUCAUACUAAUUUCCUAUGCUUCUUUUCUUGCUUUGUAGCUUUGAAAAAAAUCAGUU